UCCCCAUUGGCGCAAUGGUAGCGCGUUCGACUUCUAAUCGAAAGGCUGCAAGUUCGAGUCCUGCAUGGGGAA